CAAGCAACAGGCAAGUGUCUAGUGCUCUUAGCUGGCUCCGUAAGGCACCUCGCUCCGGACUGCUCUCAGCAGCUGAAUUCAGGGUAUCUGAAUUUGCAACCACUGGCAUCCACUGUAAAAUGAGUUUAGAAGAAUGCAUCAGCAAAGAAGCACAUCAUCAGGCAUGCUCAGUCACUGAGUCGGGUCCAACUCUUUGAGGCCCCAUGGACAAUAGCCCGCAUUUUCCAGGCAAGAAUACUGGAGUGGGUUUUCAUUUCCUACUCCAGGGGAUCCUCCUGACUCAGGGAUCGAAUCCACGCCCCUUUGAGUCUCCUGCAUUGGCAAGCAGGUUCUCUACCACUAGCACACCCAUUGGGCCUGCAUUGGUACAGACAGCAAAGAAUCUGUCUGCAAUGCAGGAGACCCGGGUUUGAUCCCUGGGUCAGGAACAGAAAUUACUCUGAAUCUAGAAUAAUAGAAAAACUUAUAUUUCCUACAUAUGUGGGUUUGUGGACUAUAAAGUUUAAUUCUACUGUUCCAUUACUAGUUCUGCCACACCAGGGUAUAUAUUAACCAAAGGGCUUUAGAGUUAAAGAAAGAAAGAAAGUGAAGUCGCUCAGUCGUGUCCGACUCUUUGUGACCCCAUGGGCUGUAGCCUACCAGGCUUCUCUGUCCAUGGGAUUUUCCAGACAAUAGUACUAGAGUAGAUUGCCAUUUCCUUCUCCAGGGGAUCUUCCCAACCCAGGGAUCGAACCCAGGUCUCCCACAUUGUAGACAGAUGCUUUACCGUCUGAGCCACCAGGGAAGUUUAGAGCUAAGGAACAGGAAAGAUAAAGGUAUAAUCAAGAAAGAUGGUAUUCCAGGAUAUAUAUUAAUAUUUAACAUAAGUCUUCAGUGUUGGGGAAAGGGAAAGAUGAAGUUAAAAUCAAGAAAGAAGUAGGAAAGAAAAGCAAGAGGGAGGGGCCAGGAAAAGAAUGAGCUUUCACGUGUCUACCCUCAUUUGGAGAAGAUAAGUAAGGUGUGUAAGUAGGGUGAGAUGGCACUGGUUAAAAUUCUUACUUCAUCAUUAACAACAUAGGCAAGUUUGGGUAAGUCAUUUAACUAACUGAGCUGUUUUCUCAUAUACAAUGUAAGGAUAAUAAUGAGUUUAUUUUAUUCCCAUAGAUUUUUUGUGAGGGUCAAGAGAAAUAAUAAACAUAAAAGGGUCUUAAAAAGUGAAAAGGCUUUACUAUGCAGAUUCCUAUUACCCAGCGUUUAGUAAGACGAGCCUUUAGUAAGUGCUCAGUAAUUGUUUCCUAUUACAGAAAAAAGGGAAAUGAGAGGAGAAUUGAAUUCCAAAGGCCACUUAAAAUAACCAGCCCCAUUACUUGUCAAAUAAUUGUGAUAUUUGAUUUGUCUCUACCCUUUUCCUGGAGCCACUGCUGUAUUUUUCAGUUGUUAAAGAUCAUGCCCAGUGAAACAGGACCACUUGCAUUACCAGCAAAUUUCCCUCUAUAUUACACCAAUAGACUUCGUUUUCUCUUUUUACCUCAGUCCACAGAGCAGAGUGGGAUUUGGAGGAGGUAAUUCAGGGAGGAGAGGCACUCGUUAGCACAGUGUCCUCCUCUCCACAGAGCAUUGAACUCACUAGCCAUCAAAAGCCUCCGCUAGUUUGCAUCUCAAACUGAGAAUGGUCUCUGGCUAUGGUCCUUUCACACAGUACCCUAUGAGGCUAAACAACCAGGAAUGGAACUGCUUAGCCCCAUCCUUCACCUCACACUUGGAGUUCAGAAGACUGUUUCUCUAUUUUUCCAAUUAAGAGCUCUUGUGGAAACCCUAAUGACAUUUUGCAGAACCUCAGAGUUCCUCAGACCCUGUUGAGAAUCCCAAAUCUUCUUUUGUAAGAGUAUGUGUGUGUGUAUACAUGUGUAUGUAUUGGGUGAACCAAA
ensembl:lncRNA